rnacentral:rRNA from 1 species
AUGUUGAUUGUACCGAACGAAGGAUUUGCCUUAUCACGAAAGCCACAUUCGUUUCAUUUGAGGAAGUCACACGUCCCGUUCCCUAUAAAUAAGGAGAUUCAUUCUUUUUUUUUUCUUCAGAAAUCCCCUCUUCUUCCUCCUCAAGCCCCUAUCACAAGACCAAGCGGAUCUCAUCCUGCAGAAGACUCAGAGCGGAUCUAUCUAAUGGCAUGGCUGGCUGUCGGAUGUGAUCUAUUCUCGUGUCACAUUGCUUUCUUUCUUCUCCCUCCAUUUUCUUCACUACUACCGCUUCUACACAUAAAUCAAAGAAGCAUUCUGGAAUAG